UUGUGUAACGUCGUCCACUACCAUCAAAGCUAUUAAGAGCAUCUCUAAAAAGACUCUCUAUUUUAGAGUUUGUAAAAUUCUAAAUUUGAAGUUUCAAGGUGUUCUUCUCCAAAAACAAAAUUUCAAACUCAAUUUCAUAAUUAUUUAUUUUUUACAUUAGCAAAAAAACUCUAUAUUCAAAGUUAUAAAGUUUUUUUGGUUCAAGGAUCUUAUGGAUUUUAAUACGGUAAUGCUUGGUAAGCAAUUGUGGAGGCUGAUUGAGAAGCCAAAUACUCUUUUUUCAAGAGUCUUCAAAGGAAGGUACUUCAGGAAUGCCUCACCCCUGGAACCGAUCCGCUCAUACUCCCCGUCAUAUGGCUGGAGAAGUAUUACUUCUGCUAGAUCUCUGGUUUGUAAAGGACUAAUUAAAAGGGUGGGAACAGGUUCAUCUAUUUCAGUAUGGAAUGAUCCCUGGCUCCCAGUCACUCGCCCGAGACCAGCAAACAAAAACCUUCAAAACAGUUACCCGGACCUCACAGUGGAUUCUUUUAUUAAUCUGGAAUCCCGAACAUGGAAUUUACAGACAAUCAGGGCUUUGGUGGAUCCUCAGGAUGUAAAAUUAUUGAAAGUAUCCCAUUAAGCAGAAAUCCAAUGGAGGAUAGGAAUGGAUGGCAUUUUACUAAUAAUGGGAAAUACUCGGUCCAAUCAGGUUAUCAGGUGGAGCAGGUCUAUCCUGAUAAGGAAAAACCACCCGACUUUUAUGGACCCACAGUGGAUACCCUAAAAGCAUUUUGUUGGAAAGAACGAUGUCCCCCGAAGAUAAAGCAUUUCUUAUGGCAACUUCUCCCAUGAUGUAUAGCGGUUAUGAAAAAUCUAAAGUCGAGAGGGAUACAAGGGGAUAUAUGUUGUACUCGGUGUGGCGACCCGGAGGAAUCAAUAAACCAUGUGUUCUUUGAAUGUCCUCCAGCACGUCAAGUGUGGGCAUUAUCCAAGAUACCAUCGCCUCCCAAUAUUUUCCCUAUUAGUUCUUUUUUCGCUAAUAUGGAUCAUCUUUUUUGGUGGGGUUAACCCUAAGAUGGAUGAUCAUCAAUUUGCAUGGAUAUUAUGGUAUAUAUCGAAGGGACGGAAUAAUAAAGUUUUCAGUAAUUUGGAUAUAGAUCCAAGGGAAACACUUCAAAAAGCGGAAUUAGAUUCAUCACUAUGGGCUGAGGCACAGGUAGCAAAUGAUCCAACGAGGGGGCAUCAGGUACAAUCUAGUUCCCCCUUAGUAACCCAAGGACGAUGGUGUUUCAUAGAUGGAUCAUGGAAGGAUAAGGAGGUUUUUUCCGGCCAAGGCUGGUAUAGUACUUUAUCGGGAUUUGAUGGUUUAUUAGGGGCAAGGAAUGUCAGGGCAAGCCUUUCACCCUGCAUUCGGAGGUAGAAGCAUUAAUUUGGGCAAUGGAAUGUAUGAAGAACUUAAGACAGUUCCAAGUAACAUUUGCAACGGAUUAUUCUCAGCUGGUGAAGAUGGUUUCGGAACCAGAGGAAUGACCAGCAUUUGUAAGCUACUUAGAAGAUAUCAAGCUUUUAAAAGGAAGCUUUCUAAACUCAGACAUCGUUCAUGUUCCCCGAACGAUGAAUAUACGGGCAGAUAGCUUAGCACGCAGUGCUAGGAAACAAACGUCCUUCGUCGUUCACAUGGAUGCGGAGUUGCCACUUUGGUUUACAGAGUCAACAUGAGUUUGUAAAUGUUGGCUGUCCAAAAAAAAAAAAAAAAAUUUUUUUUGGAGAUGCUCCCAUAGCUUCAACUCCAUUAUGUCAUCCAUACGCUUCUUCUCCCCCAUUGACUCCACAUAUAUAAACUCCCCUGAAUCCAAAUCUUCUCUGGUAGCUUUCAUAGAUGAGAACACAGUCAGAUUUUCCAGCCCCAAAGCUUCGGAUAAAUCUAGCACCAAAGCUCCGGCAAUAUCGACCACCGCAUCCAUGGCUAAGAAUCCAGUGAAAUCACCACCAAAGCUCCAAGUGAAUCGACCACUGGUUUCAUGGAUAAGAAAAAAGGGGUUGCUUGGCCCCAUCUACGGCCAUGAAUCCUUCAAAAAGCAAGAUCUUCAUAGGGCUUGAUCUGUUAUUUAUGGCAAAAAGGUAUAGCCUGAUAUUCUAAGUCCCUGAAUUUCUUUUUUUUUUUGUAUCAUCUCACCUGUACUACACCUCACCAGAAUAUGUGAUACAAGGUGCAUAUCUCAGAACCGUGUAAGUCGGUAUAAACAUUUUCUGAAACGUGGAUCUCACUCAGCCUCUUUAACCUCUUAUCUCAACUUUUUUUGGACACUUUCAAGGUCCUAUCCGUUCUUCAUGAGCAGAGUUUUGCGAUUGAGUUCGACUGGUUCUGGUUCCAUUCAUCCAAAGCGUUUGAAGCGAGUCGUGUUCUUAAAGGCAAUCUCUAUGGUAAGGUUUAGGUUGUGUUGUCGAAUAUAAUUAAUUAUGAAAAUAGUAUGGCAAUCCACGGAAUAUCAAGCCCUAUAUUAUGUGACGAUUUGAUUUAAUUAUUUAAACAGCGUUACAAAGGUCUGUUUCAGAAUCUUGAAUGAACGGUUUCGCAGUUAUGUUGUUGUUGCAGUUAUUAAGUUAUUUGCUUACCAGAGAAAGCGCCAAUGAAGAUAUGAAGGAGUUUGGUAGAUCUUCAAGACUCUGCUUCUGAGUUAUUAUGUUGAUGAAAGUGGGAGCUGUAACAAAAUUAUGUUCUUUAGCUGGAUCACAUUAUUUUCAUUUAUUGUGGUCUUAUAUGAAUUCCUCAAGUGAGAAGCUUGGAAAGUACCGUGGAUAGUCUGUUGUGUCCCAAAUGCAGGUUUAGUAGCGGAAAUAUAGUAUAUCAGUGACAGAAAGCAUAAAGAAGAUCCGCUUCGUUACAUUGCUGUCGUAACUAAAGAAUUACUACGAAGAGAUAUGUGCUUUGAAACAGUCAAAUAAAGUAAUGAAGUUGUGGGUGAUCUUUUUGGAGCCCAUGUUUGGCCUUCCUUCUAGGUCUCAAACUGAUGAGACAAUGAUAGAUGUUGUGAAGUCUAAAGACAGCCAAGAACAGCAUGAACCAGUGAAAGACAACACCUGUGACGGUCUCCUGUCUCAAACCUUCAACUGCUAAGGCCUCCAGAAACACCCAAUAAAGAAACCCCAACAAUAGGAAGCUCUUUUGCGCUAGAUAAACUGCAUCCUGGUGCAGCUAUGACUACUGAGGAAAGAGCUGGUUUCACGGUCCCCACUCAGAAAGGAUUUGUUCAAGGAGGGUGAAGAGAAUCAUUGUAAGGUUAGUGAUGUAUCGAUGGAGCUUAAGGUUGAGUGAGAAGAGGUGGAAUUAUCUCCCACUGGAAGUUUUGAGCUUAAGAACUUUGAGGUUUAUAGAGUCAAUGGCCGAAUGGCGUCGAGUCGGUGUAAAGAGAAACACUCCCCUUGAGGAUGCUGGAAAUAAAACUACUAAAAACUCAAAGGCUACCAGAAGGCAAGGAAAACGACUCUAAAACUACUGCUUCAAGAAGCAAGUUUGGUGGUCAAAUUUCUUAUGGUGGAGAGCAUAAAGGAGGUAUGAAUUGUGGCCGAAUGAUAAGUGUGGUUGAGAGCGAAAACAAGACUGUAAGGGUGGUUAACUCGAACGAGGAUGAAGAUGGAUCCUUUUUCACUUUCAGAACGGUAUCUGCAACCUGUAAAGCCCAUUGCAAAGCAUGUUCCACUGACAUUACAAGUCAUUGAAUGAAUUCUCGGAAUGAUUCUCUGACUUUUCUAUGGUAAUGAUUCAUUUUAUGUUCUUUUUAGGCUUCAUCAAGUAAGGACGACAAAACAACUUCUCAAGUUGAUUUCAACGAAGUUCAAACCACUAA